UACGUAGGGGGCUAGCGUUGUCCGGAAUCAUUGGGCGUAAAGAGCGUGUAGGCGGUCCGGUAAGUCCGCUGUGAAAGUCGGGGGCUCAACCCUCGAAUGCCGGUGGAUACUGUCGGGCUAGAGUGCGGAAGAGGCGAGUGGAAUUCCUGGUGUAACGGUGAAAUGCGCAGAUAUCAGGAGGAACACCUAUUGCGAAGGCAGCUCGCUGGGACGUAACUGACGCUGAGACGCGAAAGCGUGGGGAGCAAACAGG
rnacentral:rRNA from 1 species